UACGGAGGGGGCGAGCGUUAUUCGGAAUUAUUGGGCGUAAAGGGCGCGUAGGCGGCCCGGUAAGUCAAAGGUGAAAUCCCUCGGCUCAACUGAGGAACUGCCUUUGAAACUGUCGGGCUUGAGGCCGGGAGGGGGUAGCGGAAUUCCCAGUGUAGCGGUGAAAUGCGUAGAUAUUGGGAGGGACACCGGUGGCGAAGGCGGCUACCUGGACCGGUUCUGACGCUGAUGCGCGGAAGCGUGGGUAGCAAACAGG
rnacentral:rRNA from 1 species